rnacentral:rRNA from 1 species
UACGUAGGGUGCAAGCGUUGUCCGGAAUCAUUGGGCGUAAAGAGCGUGUAGGCGGCCUGGUAAGUCCGCUGUGAAAGUCCAGGGCUCAACCCUGGAAUGCCGGUGGAAACUGUCAGGCUCGAGUCCGGAAGAGGCGAGUGGAAUUCCUGGUGUAGCGGUGAAAUGCGCAGAUAUCAGGAGGAACUCCGAUGGCGAAGGCAGGGCGCUGGGACGGUACUGACGCUGAGACGCGAAAGCGUGGGGAGCAAACAGG